CCUACGUGCACCGCCUCACGCCCGGGCUCCCCGGAGCGCCUUUGCGGGCAGUGCGCCCCUCUUCCCUCUCCCCGCGUUCCAGAAGCUUCCACGGCGCGCCCUGCCCAGCCCUCCUCUACUGAACCGGGCCCUCCCGGAGGUGAGUGGUGACCGCCGGGGCUUCAGCCUGCUUGGCUGAGUAGGCUCUGGUCACACUCCCAGCCACAGUGAUGGGGAUCCAUCCCCGGGACACUGUUGCUUCUGAGCUUAGCCACCCCCAUGGCAGAGAAGACCAUGCUUUUGGUUUUAUUCUGUAAACAGAAACUUUUCAUUGUGCUAUUGAACAUUUCUCCGGCUGCUGAUGCCAGGAGAGCCGUAGACUCUUUCCAGUAAUGAAGCUUGUAAAUCCGGCUGAUUCCAAGUCCAGCAACCUGAGACUGACUCUGCCUUAACAUGAUCUUCCUGUCCGGCACAUGGAAAAUUACUUCUGAGGAUGUGGGGGAGCCAUUCCUGGGCUCCUGGGAGCCGCCUCCACUACUUAGGGUUUUGAUAAAAGAAAGAAUCAGAUGGACCACAUUCAAGAAUCUCCUACUUAAAUCUCCCUGAAGUAAGAGGAAGGAAAUACUCAUUCUAACGCAAAAGUUUUGAAGUAAAAAAUUACUCAGUUGUAAAAUUAGCAUCAAAUCAAGAGGAACAGUAGCUAGCAUAUUAAAAACAGGAAAAUGGGAGAAAGUUCAGAGAUGAGUAGACAUAAUCAAGAGAUGGAAAGUGUGACUGGAGAAGAAUAAGGAAGAAUAAAGUGAGGCUUAGAUCGUCUGAAGAAGGAGCAGCUGAGGGAUGGAGCCCUUUACAGUGUGGGUGGCAGGUGCAGCGUCAUGAAUCCCGGCAGAGCCAAGCAGAACCAGCCCUCAGAAGAAUGGCUAGUCUUUGAGGCUUUUCACAGAGUCACUAUUGGAAGAUCACAGGUGUCAGCAGAGCAGGAAAGGCAAGAACUGUUGCUGUUUUCACUGCUGAACCAAAAUGGGAGCCAUCUUUACCCGAGGCUUGAGGAGAGCUGGCAGUGGCCAUGCUGCUGUUGCAUUCCAGACCCUGCCCGAUUCCAAGAGGAACAGACUCUCUCCCUUCAAAUGUCUACACACUACUGUUUUUUUUUUUUUUCAGAUCUAUAGCGCAUCUCAAUAAAAGUUUGUUAGAAAAAAUACUAUUUGAGUACUGGAUGUAGAUAUUCUAAAGGCAUUUCAAUAUCUUAAAAACAUAUUAAAAUAUAUUAAAUAUAUAUUAAAUAUUAAAUUUAACAUAAAUAUAAUUUAAAUAUUAAAUUAUAUAUAUAAAUAUAUAUUAAAAUAUAUUAAAAACAACUUGAAUAACUAUCUAGACACCUUGUUUAUAGUU